AUCAUAAAAGCAUAAUGUCUGUGCAUAAGGCCUAAAAUCUUGUUGUGAGGGUUAGAUUCCUUCUUGUGGUA
rnacentral:tRNA from 1 species